rnacentral:snoRNA from 1 species
CUUGGCCCUAGAAGUGUUGCAGGUAUAGUGUCACUUGUAGAUGGCAGAAAGGAGAAAUUCUACUUUUACACUCAGUGUUAUGAUCUACGAACAUCUGAAUGAUUAAUAGCCUAGCAUU